CUUAACUUCGGGAUUGCCAUUGAAACUGUUACUCUUGAGUACAGUCGGAGACGGCGGAAUGAGUUAUGUAGCGGUGAAAUGCAUAGAUAUAACUCAGAACACCGAUCGCGAAGGCAGCUGUCUAGGCUGAGACUGACGCUGAGGCACGAAAGCGUGGGGAGCGAACAGGAUUAGAUACCCUGGUAGUCCACGCUGUAAACGAUGAUCACUCGCUGUUGGCGAUAUACAGUCAGCGGCUGAGCGAAAGCAUUAAGUGAUCCACCUGGGGAGUACGUCGGCAACGAUGAAACCCAAAGGAAUUGACGGGGGCCCGCACAAGCGGAGGAACAUGUGGUUUAAUUCGAUGAUACGCGAGGAACCUUACCUGGGCUUAAAUGUAGAGUGCAUGGAGGGGAAACCUUCCUUUCCUUCGGGACUC
rnacentral:rRNA from 1 species